GACGAACGCUGACGGUGUGCUUUAGACAUGCAAGUCGAACGAGAAAGCCCUUCGGGUUAGUAAGUGGCGAACGGGUGAGUAACACGUGGGCAAUCUGCCCCUCCGCAGGGGGACAACCGGAGGAAACUCCGGCUAAUACCCCGUAACGUUCAAAGGGAGGCAUCUCUCUUCGAAGAAAGGUAGCUUCGGCCAUCCGGCGAGGGAUGAGCCCACGGUGCAUUAGCUAGUUGGUGGGGUAACGGCCUACCAAGGCGACGAUGCAUAGCUGGUCUGAGAGGAUGAUCAGCCACACUGGGACUGAGACACGGCCCAGACUCCUACGGGAGGCAGCAGUCGGGAAUCUUGCGCAAUGGGCGAAAGCCUGACGCAGCAACACCGUGUGUGUGAGGAAGGCCCUCGGGUCGUAAAGCACUGUUGGUGGGGACGAAGGGCGAAGGGUUAAUGCCCCCUAGCUUGACGGUACCCUUCGAGGAAGCCCCGGCUAACUACGUGCCAGCCGCCGCCG
rnacentral:rRNA from 1 species